CAGAGUCAAGACUAACGAUAAGAGUCGGCAGAAAGAGAUAGUUGGGCAUUCUCGGCCACCAAACUAAAGUCCGAGAUCGAACCCUUUCCUAAUGAGUUUCCUUUACAAGAUUUCCAACUUAUCGAAAGCAGAGUUGUUAAGGAUUGUCUCUGGGAAUCGAGAUCAAAGAAUGAGCCGCGUGUUCCAUCCACUAGAGUUGAGUUUUCUCUCUAAAUUAUUUGUUUCACUCCAUAACCUCAACAUUCUACAAUUUGUUUACAUUUUCCUUAUCACUUUAUUCACUUAACCUGAAAUUUCAUUUACUUGAAAUGAUACCAUGUCUCAUUCAAUUAUGUCAAAUUUUAGUAUUUCCUAGAUACAGAGUGCUAUUUUUAAAUGACUUGACAUUGGAUACACCUUCAAAUUUGUUAUCUUUAAUAUGAACUAUAAAAAGGAUAAAUUUCAAAUUUGUCUUUGUAUUUUUAGACAUUUUUUAAUCUCCAUGGAUUAUUUCUAUUUCUGAUUUUCUUACAAACUAUAACAUAUCUGAAGUUGUGAGCAUGAUGAGAAGACAGAGAGCAAAUAGCUAAUUGCUUUAUUUAUUUAUUUAUUUUCGAUAAAUUGUUACAACUAGUGGGGGAGGGGAUUUGAACCCUGGUUCUCGAUACAAAAGAAACCAGUCAAUGGAAUUGAGUUACAAGGCUCUUGGUGUGUCUUGUUGUAAUUGAUCAAAUUAAUUAGAUAAGGCGGAAUGAAAUGUUUUCUGAUUUAUUAUUGAAAAACAUACAUCUGUAUAUUAUAAGCUUGUCAUGAAUUUUGGUUGCUGAGAUUACUGUUAGACUCUGCAGACACUUGCUCAGUAAGCAGCACAUCUGUUAAAUAAAUGAUUAGAGACAUAUUUGGUAAGUACUCUGUAGAAACUCUAGACAUGUUUCCUCACAGUCUUUUUUGUGUGUUCAUGAAUAUGUGCAUAAAUGAAUGGAUGAAGAAACCAAACUGCAGUCCAUCAAAGCAAAUAACUAUGAAUUUAAAAAUUUUGCAUUGGCAUAAAUUGCAGUAGAAGCAAUGGCUGAUAGUGGGGUAGCUGCAGCCUUACCACAAGAAAUUGCAUUGAAACUAUUACUAUUAGAAAUAGAGAGGAUUAGGAUUCCCCAUGGUGGUAGAAGAAUCUCUACCAGCAAGCCGGUGGCAGAAGUUCCUAAAAUGACGCACAUUCUCCUGCCUAUAUGGAGGUAGCUUGUGUUGAGAGUUGGGUGGCUUAUCCCUGCCAAUGUUAAAGCGUAACCAAUCACAAGUACAAUAAAAGAUGACAUAAUUGCACCAUGCGUUUGAAAUGGGUUGCCAGAGUUUUGAUACUUGACUUGUAGAAGGGCAAGCAGCGCUAAAAUGAGAAAACCUAAAGCAGUAUGGACUUUGGUGGAGGAACCAAGUUGUUGGCGACUGUGAAAAACAGAGAGGAAAAAAAACAUAGAAUUGCCUCAGAUUACAUGCAAUAUUAAUGGAUAUACAGUUGAUGAAUGAGCAGAAGGAAUAUCCAUGACAUUCGAUUUGCCAACAAAAUAUUUUCUUGUAAUUAGAUUAAUGCUCAUAUUUAAUUUAGAGGUGCAAGUUAAAUUAUUUGCCAAGUCUUUCAAUUUUGUGUCACUAUCAAGUUACUUUUAUUAUCCUCUUGCUUACAUCUAAUAUUCCUCUAGAAAGAAAUAAACCCCAGUUUUUAUUUU